CGGGGGAGGCCGGAUCCUGGGCUGUGUCCCGGCGCCCUGUGCUCCGGGGCCUGCGCUGUUGGAUUCGCGCUCCCGGCCGUGCAGCCCCCU
rnacentral:pre_miRNA from 1 species